AGCUCCAGUAGCGUAUAUUAAAGUUGUUGCAGUUAAAAAGCUCGUAGUUGGAUUUCUGGUACGCUGCGCCUGGCCCGCCCGCGAUAGUGUGGUGAGUGUCGGUGCGCGGUUGCCAUCCUUCUAGAGAACGUUUCUACCCUUCACUGGGCCGGAUACGGGAUCUAGAUCUUUUACUUUGAAAAAAUUAGAGUGUUUAAAGCAGGCUUUUGCUAUGAAUACAUUAGCAUGGAAUAAUAAUAUAGGACUUUGGUUCUAUUUUGUUGGUUUCUAGGACUAAAGUAAUGAUUGAUAGGGAUAGUUGGGGGUGCUAGUAUUCAGCGGCCAGAGGUGAAAUUCUUGGAUUCGCUGAAGACUAACUUAUGCGAAAGCAUUCACCAAGGAUGUCUUCUUUAAUCAAGAA
rnacentral:rRNA from 1 species